rnacentral:rRNA from 1 species
AUUGAACGCUGGCGGCAUGCCUUACACAUGCAAGUCGAACGGCAGCACGGGUGCUUGCACCUGGUGCGAGUGGCGAACGGGUGAGUAAUACAUCGGAACGUACCUUAUCGUGGGGGAUAACGCAGCGAAAGCUGUGCUAAUACCGCAUACGCCCUGAGGGGGAAAGCGGGGGAUCGCAAGACCUCGCGCGAUUAGAGCGGCCGAUGCCUGAUUAGCUUGUUGGUGGGGUAAAAGCCCACCAAGGCGACGAUCAGUAGCUGGUCUGAGAGGACGAUCAGCCACACUGGGAAUGAGACACGGCCCAGACUCCUACGAGAGGCAGCAGUGGGGAAUUUUGGACAAUGGGGGCAACCCUGAUCCAGCAAUGCCGCGUGAGUGAAGAAGGCCUUCGGGUUGUAAAGCUCUUUUGUCAGGGAAGAAACACCGGCUCUAACACAGUCCGGGAAUGACGGUACCUGGAGAAUAAGCACCGGCUAACUACGUGCCAGCCGCCGCCGUAA